GUAAAGGUAAUAAAUUUCAUCAUCACUAUGAGACUUGAAGGAGCUGCACAAGGUGGACAUGUGGGGGAAGACAACAAUGACUGGGCAGUGCAGCACGGAGAGUACAUUGAAGUGGGGAUCAUAAGAUGCAAUCCUUACCCGUUCGCCAACUAUCUUUCUCAAUGGACACGAUAGCAACUGAUGAUUACUUGGCAUGGUUCACAGCCGUCAGCAAGUCGUAUAUGUUACCACCAGAGGCGAGGAGUAGGAAAAUUUGAGUGAAGAGGCAAUGUUGACUGCCACAACAGCGUAGGAGG
rnacentral:lncRNA from 1 species